rnacentral:rRNA from 1 species
UACGAGUGGUGCAAGCGUCAUUCGGAAUCAUUGGGCGUAAAGGGUGUGUAGGCGGCAAAUCAAGUCUGUUGUUAAAUUUCUCGGCCUAACCGGGAUAAUGCGGUGGAUACUGAUUUGAUAGAGGAUGGAAGAGAGAAGUGGAAUUCUCGGAGUAGCGGUAAAAUGCGUAGAUAUCGAGAGGAACACCGAUGGCGAAGGCAGCUUCUUGGUCCAUAACUGACGCUGAAACACGAAAGCGUGGGGAGCGAACAGG